UCUCUAAAUUCAAGGAAGCAUAAAAUCAGAAACACGAGUUUCCUGUUUACAAAGAUUGUGAACAGCUUCUACCCAUGACAGUGUUUGCAGAACGGUAAAGGAGCAAAAGCUAUGAGUUGGUGGUGUCACUUGGCAUGAUGGCAACAGCAGCAAGAGCUACCAGGACAUUUCAAUGCCUGGGCUGGAUUCCUGCUCCUGCUGGGUCUUCCUGGGAUGGAGCUGGACAGUCAGUAACUCAUGAGGCCUUCCCAACUUGUCCAAGAGUGUGUCCUGUUUUCCUGAAUUGGCUGUCACCUGGGAAUGAUGAAGUAUGAUUGGUCUUGUUCAAGCUCUCUCUCCAGAUCUUCCAGCACACUGACUGCCUCCUCUACAGUCUCUGGAUGGUGUGCCUGCACCCAUGUUUGCAAGUCCCUAGGAAGAAUGCUCAGGAACUGUUCCAGCACCAUUGGUGCGAGCAUGUCUGGUCACCACACCCUGAUGAGCCAUCGUGGGCAUCACCUUGCCCUCACCCAGCCCUGCCCUCCAAGGACAGCACUGCGGUUGAUCUUCUCACACGUCUCUGCCGACAAUUGCUGUGACACCUCCAACCUUUCUGCAAAGUUCUAAACCAGUGACAAGACCCCACUCCCCCCACCUCACACACCCAAACCUGCAUUUUUCUAAGAAUUGUUGAUUCAUAUUUCAAAGAACACAUAGAGGAGAACAGAGCUAAAGAUAGCAGAGGCUCAAUUGUCAAAACUCAAAUGAAACCACUCAGAGAGGAAAAGCUACUCAUCCCACUUUACAGGUUAGGAGACUGAAAGCGCUUCUGCCCUGGAGGAAGGGUGGGAGGGCCUUGGUUGGCAGAAAGGAGAGACUGUGGCCACGUCCCACCAAGGCUGCCCUGAUGAAGGCCGUGUGGAGCUAUCAACAGACUCCUGCUACUCAUCGAGAGGCAGUUAACCCAGGCAAAGGAAGGUGUGCUCAGUAGGUGAGCAGGAUCCCAGUUGGCCUUUGGUUUCCACUACCUACCUUGAAUAAUUUCACUGUUAUUUGAUAAUAAAACACAAAACUGCUUUGUGGC